rnacentral:tRNA from 1 species
GUUUAAGUAGCUUAAUUAAAGCAUGACAUUGAAGUUGUUGGGAUGAGGACUUUCCUCCUUAAAC